rnacentral:rRNA from 1 species
GACGAACGCUGGCGGCGUGCUUAACACAUGCAAGUCGAACGGAAAGGCCCUGCUUUUGUGGGGUGCUCGAGUGGCGAACGGGUGAGUAACACGUGGGUAACCUGCCCUUGACUUUGGGAUAACUUCAGGAAACUGGGGCUAAUACCGGAUAGGAGCUCCUGCUGCAUGGUGGGGGUUGGAAAGUUUCGGCGGUUGGGGAUGGACUCGCGGCUUAUCAGCUUGUUGGUGGGGUAGUGGCUUACCAAGGCUUUGACGGGUAGCCGGCCUGAGAGGGUGACCGGCCACAUUGGGACUGAGAUACGGCGCAGACUCCUACGGGAGGCAGCAGUGGGGAAUAUUGCACAAUGGGCGGAAGCCUGAUGCAGCAACGCCGCGUGCGGGAUGACGGCCUUCGGGUUGUAAACCGCUUUCGCCUGUGACGAAGCGUGAGUGACGGUAAUGGGUAAAGAAGCACCGGCUAACUACGUG